GUUGAAACACCUGUUUUUGUACGAUCACUAAAAUUAAGCAACGUCGAGCGUGGUCAGUACUUGGACGGGUAAACGCUUGGGAAUACCACCUGCUGUAAG